AAUGAUAAAAAGGAAGAUAGAGAGUCAGAAAUCUGACUGUCAGUUUUAUAACUAUGUCAGAUUUGAAUAUAGGUUCCCAAUCGAAAUAUUUCAUGAAAAUAUCUUUUGACUGGCACUUGAAAUUGAACACACUUCAAUGCACUCGAUACUUAUUUCCAAAUUGAUUUUGUUGCACUGAAACUCGCUGGCUAUGACUCGGCUAUAUUGGACUCGAAGGUCUCUUAGCUGUUGCCAAGCUGUUUGCCCGGUUGGUUAUAAAUUUUUAUGCUCAUUUCGAGCCGAGGCACAAUGCAAACAGCUAACAUAAACGGGCAACUGCAGCUGAGAAUCUUUUAACCAUGUCACAUACAUAUAUAUAUGGCAGUUGCUGCCCAUUCGCAGCUGCAUGUGCUUGUUCAAGAGGCUAUGUGUGUGUGUGUGUCCAAUUUACGCCACUGGACUGCGGCUCCAUCCUUGUGGACACAUCAUUUUCGAUUACUUUGCACCACCAGCAGCAGCAGCAGCAGCAACAGCAGCGGAGACUAUAAAAAGUUACCCAUUUUGGUUGCUGUUGUUGCAAUUGCUAUAAAAGUUUAUAACGCGCUUGUUGACAAUCCUAAUAUCAAGUGAGAAGAGUAUGAGGGCUUGUCUCUUUGCCGGCACAAAUCUCUCUCUCUCUCUCUCUCUCUUCCUUUCAUGUCGCUUUGGCUGUCAGCCAUUGUUUCAUGUGCUUUGUGAUGUAAUUUUAUUGCUGUGUGUAUUGCACAAAUUCUCAUGCUCUCCGCAGAUUUGUUUUGUGCCUUGCUCGUGUCAACUUUUCAAAACUAUUUCAAAACUGUGAAUGACAAAAUGUUUAAUGGACUUUCAAUGCCAAAAGACAACGACGCCGUCGCCGUCGCCGUUGCCGACGUAGUUGACGAAGACAGUUGUCUUUUUAGCAUAUCCGUUUACACUUCUGCAGCGUGCACAAUAAAUCAACGCCUAGUUGGAGAAUUUGUGCCGCCCUUGGCCCGUUCCCUAUCCUGUGCCGGUUAUCUAGCUCGGGUUGUUUGUUUGUUUGCCUUGUUUAUGCCACUUUUCUUGCAUUUCUUGCUGUGGCCGGCACAAAGUUUUGUUAAUUGAGUUUGUUGAAAGUUUUAUUAAACAGCGCGACGACAGCCGCAUUCAACUUUUUAUUUUUUA